rnacentral:rRNA from 1 species
UAACUGACUCUCGGCAACGGAUAUCUCGGCUCUCGCAUCGAUGAAGAACGUAGCGAACUGCGAUACUUGGUGUGAAUUGCAGAAUCCCGUGAACCAUCGAGUCUUUGAACGCAAGUUGCGCCCGAAGCCGUUUGGCCGAGGGCACGUUUGCCUGGGUGUC